CCCAAAUUUAAUUAUUAGUAAUUAAUUGAUUAUUUGCAUUUAUUUUAUUUGUGGUUUUUAAUGUAAUUAAUUAAUUAUGUGUUAAUUGUUGGUUUACGUGUUUUUAAUAGAAAUAACUCAUUAAGAAUAGAAUGAGGGAAGUGAUGUGUUAGAAUAUGUUUUAGGCCUAUUUAGUAGAGGGGUAUUUUGGUAAAAGAAGAAUGGGGUAAACCUAACUAUAUAAAGACCAAGUUAGAGAGAGGUUGUCAUAAAUUAUGAUUUUGAUGGAGGUAGAGAGAGAAGCUCUCAAGAAAGAAUAGAUAAAGAGAAAGUUAGAGAAAAGAAGAGAAAGAAAUGAAGAGGAAAGCUAAGUAGAGGGGAAGAUUGAAGAAGAGCUAGGAGAUAAAGGACUAGAGAAUCCAACAUCAAUAAGGUUCUCAGGUCGUGUCGAGUAUUGAUGAAGCUUCGCUCUGAUUAUGACACAGGAAAAAUGGGUUUUAUAUAUGUAGAGUCCUCUAGUCUUAAUUAUUUUGUAUAAUUAAUAAUACUUUAUUUAAUUCAAAGAUUUGGAAUAAACUCGUAUUCUACUAAUUAAUGUUAUUAGUAAGGUUUUGAAGUAA